rnacentral:rRNA from 2 species
ACGGGUGAGUAACGCGUGGGAACAUACCUUUUGGUUCGGAACAACACAGGGAAACUUGUGCUAAUACCGGAUAAGCCCUUACGGGGAAAGAUUUAUCGCCGAAAGAUUGGCCCGCGUCUGAUUAGCUAGUUGGUAGGGUAAUGGCCUACCAAGGCGACGAUCAGUAGCUGGUCUGAGAGGAUGAUCAGCCACAUUGGGACUGAGACACGGCCCAAACUCCUACGGGAGGCAGCAGUGGGGAAUAUUGGACAAUGGGGGCAACCCUGAUCCAGCCAUGCCGCGUGAGUGAUGAAGGCCCUAGGGUUGUAAAGCUCUUUUGUGCGGGAAGAUAAUGACGGUACCGCAAGAAUAAGCCCCGGCUAACUUCGUGCCAGCAGCCGCGGUAAUACGAAGGGGGCUAGCGUUGCUCGGAAUCACUGGGCGUAAAGGGUGCGUAGGCGGGUUUUUAAGUCAGGGGUGAAAUCCUGGAGCUCAACUCCAGAACUGCCUUUGAUACUGAAGAUCUUGAGUCCGGGAGAGGUGAGUGGAACUGCGAGUGUAGAGGUGAAAUUCGUAGA